rnacentral:rRNA from 1 species
GACGAACGCUGGCGGCGUGCUUAACACAUGCAAGUCGAACGGAAAGGCCCUGCUUUUGUGGGGUGCUCGAGUGGCGAACGGGUGAGUAACACGUGAGUAACCUGCCCUUGACUUCGGGAUAACUUCAGGAAACUGGGGCUAAUACCGGAUAGGAAUCCUUGCUGCAUGGUGGGGGUUGGAAAGCUUCGGCGGUUUUGGAUGGACUCGCGGCUUAUCAGCUUGUUGGUGGGGUAGUGGCUUACCAAGGCUUUGACGGGUAGCCGGCCUGAGAGGGCGACCGGCCACAUUGGGACUGAGAUACGGCCCAGACUCCUACGGGAGGCAGCAGUGGGGAAUAUUGCACAAUGGGCGGAAGCCUGAUGCAGCAACGCCGCGUGCGGGAUGACGGCCUUCGGGUUGUAAACCGCUUUCAGCAGGGGCGAAGCUUGUGGUGACGGUACCUGCAGAAGAAGCACCGGCUAACUACGUG